AAGUUGGAAAAUGGUAGUUCUUCUUUCCGUCUUGAACCUUUAUUUCGAAGACAGCCUUCGAAGCUGCAUAAUGUACUAGAGCACAUAAAGUACACAUGAGCUUGUAUUUAACAUAGGACUUGAUGCUGUCGACAUGGAUACGAAUGUUGAUACUAAUUGAAAAAGGUAAUUUCAUUCUUUAAUGAGAUGUAUUAUUGAGGUUAUUCCAAGAUAUCUAUUUGAUGUAAUACACUAGUCCUAGAAAAGCAACCGCGGCAACUUUUUCACCAUGCGGAAUCAUUAAAUGUAAACCAUAAUAAUGACUGGAUAUAUAAAAAUUAAGAAUGUGAUACAAUAAAUCACAAUAUCCCUUAUACAGUGACCAAAGCAAUAAUACCAUAAUGAUAUAACGAAAUGAAGUGUUGUGGGCACUGGGCCACAUUUCACUCUAAUACUCCAACCCUUUCCAAUCAAGCAUCUCCCCCUCUAGACUUCCUCGCUAAGCAGCAACGAUGCUGAAAGAAACUCGAUGGUCAUGCCGGGGACCCUGGAGAACCGUCUCUGAAGAGUUCUAGCGUCCACUAGCACUGGAGGUGGUGGCAUCUAGAUCAGGGCAUCGCCCCUGGGAUAGGAUGACAACAGUGGGUGGCCGAAAAGGCGCAACAUGUACAUCUCCUUUAGUCAUUAGAUCCAUUGAUGGUGACAGCAUGGCAAGGGCGGAGAUGCUUUGAGGAGGCCACUAGCUAGCUCAGUUUUUCAUUGUUCAGGCCUGUCAACAGAGCAGAUCAGUGGACAGCUUUCAUAGUUUGGAUUGUAAUGUUGAAGGUUAAAUGUUCAGGGCUAAAAACCGGACUUCUGCAAGAAGAGCUGAAAAGAAGAUGGUGUUUUCUAUAUUGUCGCAAAAUAAUGUAUUAUAGAGAUGUUCUGCUUUUACUGUUAGUGGAAUCGGUUCUUACACUGAUUAUAGUUCCUCUGUUGCUGAAGAGGAUGCUCUAUAUAGAUGACCAAAGAAACAAAGCUUUGUCCCAAGAUUGAUUACCAGAAUUGAGCAAUGGGUAUUAGAAUAGUUAUAUGUUUGGUUCAUCAAUUAUUGCCGCGGGUUUAAAUUGCAACCCAGUUUCAAUGAUGUUUUAUUUGCAAGUCCAACCGUCAAUACCGUAACAUUGUACCCUUUGCCCCAAUAGAAGGGUAGCUUUGAGCUGAGGUGGACUUUGGCUAACUGAUGUGGCAGCCACAUCAGCUCUCCACAUCCAAAAUAAAAAAACAUCAUUACAAGAUUUUUUAUUGGCCCUACGUGGCAUCCCUCCCGUACCUUAUUAUCUCCCCUUACUCGUCUCUCUCCCUUGUCUCGGCAAGUGGAAACAUAUGCCAUGGAUGCAGUGGCAUCUCCUCUUCUUCAUUACACACUCUAGCAUCCCUCAGCCGCUUGCUUUCUCAUUCACCCUAGGAAACAUUUGUUCAGCAUUCUCCAUAUCGUCUAGAAGUUAAGGACCUUCACAGUCUGGGUACUCCCGGAAGAUGUCAUUUGGUGGCAGAAGCAUCACUGAGCGGAUACUCCACUCUAAGAUCCCAAGGGUGUCACUUGGUGGUACCCGGAUCUGCAAGAUGAGAAAUUUCACAUCACCUCCUGGCCAUGCCAUCCACUUCCUGGUUAUCUAUCUCCAGUGAGGGACUGUCCGCCUACGCCUGCCAAUGCUAUGGAGGUAUGAAUUGAUGAAUAACACCAUGUCCAACACCUAGAGCAGCCUGGUGGGUGAUGUCAAUGUGUUAUUCUGUUAGUAUUAUUUUGAUUAUUGGAGAAACUUGAGUUCUCAGCAUAUCUUUUCCAUAUGUUACAGGCUCUGUCAACUCAUCUUGUCUUGAUGUGUUUUGUGAGCACACCAAGCCAUGCUCAAAUACGAAAUUAUCUUGACAUGUUCUGCAGGCUGUUGACUGUUCCGAAUUGUCUAUAUUCAUGAACUGAAACAGAUGAUAUUUCCAAUUCAAGCUACAAGGGGUGUUCAGGAUACACUUUGCAAAGCUUACAAGAUAGUACUUAUUUCACAAGCUGCAGCUCUGUUUUACAGAUGCGAGAGACCCAACUUCGCAUUAUUAGAUACAUAGUUAAUCUCAACUGUUGUAGACAUAUAAGAGUUAAAGUUCAGUGUGAAAGUUUAUAGUUUUGGAAUGAUCGAAUGGUAUGUACUUUAUUAGAAGGAUUUGGCAUAUGUACUCUGCUGAAAAUAGAGUAACAGUUCACAUCCACUAUUUGUGUGCAUGAACAGUACUGGGUUAGCAGCACAGAUGGAACCUGACAAUAGAUUAGGGAUAUGAUUCGAUAAGUUUCUCUCUAUUAGAAAUAUGCUUCCUUAGAUUUAGAGAUCGAUUCUUAGUGGUUAAUUAUUAUCCCCAAAUUGCGAUUUUCAGCUAUGAUCUCUUUCUUUGGUACAUAUCGUAGAUCCGUUCGGUCCUCCUUCGCCUGGUGUUAUUUUACUUCUAAUAACUUGCUUCAAUGGAAUUUUACUCCAGGUACAAACUAUCAUGCAUUGCACAUAUGCAGAAAGGAGAAAGGCACUCCUAUUGAUGAUUUUUUUAAAUAUUUACUGUACAAGGGAACUGCAUAAUUUUGAAGGAUUCAUGGAGCCAGAGGCACUCAACUUAAUGAACAACCAUCCGAUCCUACUCUACUAGAAGAGUUCUGCAUUUUUUUGUUCAGUUAUAUGAAAUAUUCAUUCAUAUAUCUCGGUUACCUAAAACUGCACAUGCAUCUUAGGAUGCAGAGGCCAGGGGUAAUAAAAGCUUCUAUUUCUAAAAGAUAACCCACAGCUGCACAUUACUCAUUGUAAAAUUCAACUCCAGGAAGUGUGCUAAUUUAAGGUCAUAUAGAGUGAGGUGGAGACAAUAAGAUUUAUUUAUUUUACUUUGUGGGAAAUGACCCUGUAUGUUUCAGGAGAGCUACAAGGAUACAAUACAGACGAAUGAUGACUCAUGAAUGAUUAACUAAUUACUCAAAGAGGAACAAGAGAAGAGUUAAGUAUAAGCUCACAACCUCAAGAGAGGCCAAAGCAAUCCUACUAACGACAGAACAACUGGAGGGCACAACAAAUUGAGAUCAGCGAGGCUACUCCCCUUCCUGCUUAUAUGUUCAACUGGAUGCGCACCAGUUUCUAGCACUCGCGUAGCAAACCUGAUCCUAUACACAAGAGCGCAAGGGUUUGACGGUAACCUGGGAUCUGAGGAGUGAAGAGAGAGUGGCCGAGUGUUACGUCCCUCUUCUCGAUCUAUUCCACCAUGGAUCUGGAUACAAGGUCUUUGGAAGGAAUUGGGAAAGGGAGUUAGUCUUGGAGAGGGAGAUGGGGUUCGAGAGUGGGAGGAAGGGGAGAAAUGAAUACAACCGAUUAGAGCAUCUGCAAUAGUUACAACAGAUUAGACAUCUCUACGAUUAAAACAGAGUCGGACGUCGUUUUCGUUCGACCUCAUCCCUUGCGUGAGAUCCACCCCUCGUACUCCCGCAGAGAAAUCGCAGCAAAUACCUGGCUUUCGAACCCAGCCAAACCUGGA
rnacentral:lncRNA from 1 species